CUUUACUGUAACCUGGUAUUGGUAUUUGAUUUUUGAUGCGUAGGAUAGGUGGGAGACUUUGAUCCUCUUUUUCAGGGAAGAGGGGAGUCAACGGUGAAAUACCACUCUUCAAUUGUUAGAUAUCUAACUCUAUUCCAUAAUCUGGAUAGAAGACAGUGCUAGGGGGUCAGUUUGACUGGGGCGGUCUCCUCCGAAAAGGUAACGGAGGAUUGCGAAAGUUUCUUCAAGCCGGUUGGCAAUCGGCUGCAGAGCACAUGGGUAUAAGGAAGCUUUACUGUGAGACAUACAAGUCGAGCAGUUGCGAAAGCAGGCCCAAGUGAUCCGGUAGUUGGAAGUGGAACCGCUAUCGCUUAAAGGAUAAAAGGUA
rnacentral:rRNA from 1 species